UACGAAGGGGGCUAGCGUUGCUCGGAAUCACUAGGGCGUAAAGCGCACGUUAGGCGGACUCUUAAGUCAGGGGUGAAAUCCUGGAGCUCCAACUCCAGAACUGCCUUUGAUACUGGGAGUCUCGAGUUCGGGAGAGGUGAGUGGAACUGCGAGGUGUAGAGGUGAAAUUCGUAGAUAUUCGGAAGAACACCAGUGGCGAAGGCGGACUCACUGGCCGGUAC
rnacentral:rRNA from 1 species